GACGAACGCUGGCGGCGUGCUUAACACAUGCAAGUCGAGCGGUAAGGCCCCUUCGGGGGUACACGAGCGGCGAACGGGUGAGUAACACGUGAGCAAUCUGCCCUUCACUUUGGGAUAACUCUGGGAAACAAGAGCUAAUACCGAAUACGACCACUUCAGGCAUCUGAUGGUGGUGGAAAGUUCCGGCGGUGAAGGAUGAGCUCGCGGCCUAUCAGCUAGUUGGUGGAGUAACGGCCCACCAAGGCUUCGACGGGUAGCCGGCCUGAGAGGGUGACCGGCCACACUGGGACUGAGACACGGCCCAGACUCCUACGGGAGGCAGCAGUGGGGAAUAUUGGACAAUGGGCGAAAGCCUGAUCCAGCAACGCCGCGUGAGGGAUGACGGCCUUCGGGUUGUAAACCUCUUUCAGUAGGGACGAAGCGCAAGUGACGGUACCUACAGAAGAAGCACCGGCCAACUACGUG
rnacentral:rRNA from 1 species